ACUCCUACGGGAGGCAGCAGUAGGGAAUUUUCGGCAAUGGGGGAAACCCUGACCGAGCAACGCCGCGUGAAGGAAGAAGUAAUUCGUUAUGUAAACUUCUGUCAUAGAGGAAGAACGGUGGAUAUAGGGAAUGAUAUCCAAGUGACGGUACUCUAUAAGAAAGCCACGGCUAACUACGUGCCAGCAGCCGCGGU
rnacentral:rRNA from 1 species